ACGUAAUGGUUACGAUGUGCUCAAGUCUGGCGCAACUUCCUUUUAACCAAAAACUUUUGGCGGCGAGGAAGAAAGUAGUAGUAGUAGUAUCAUCAGCAGCAGGACAUGGCGCGGAGAGAGUUUCUUACAGACUGCAAUAGGGCAUUUCGGGAGUGUACUCGAUUGGCUCAAACAGACGAUCGGGAUGCUAUAGCAAUAAUAAUUACAAGGUAAGUGAUCUUGUUUUGUGGCACUGGACGCCCAUUAUUUCCCCCAGGGGCGGACAAGGCUAUCGGCAGUACCGGGAGUUUUCCCUGUGGGCCGGCCCUUUGCAAUGUAAAUGUAUGAAUGAAUUGUAGUAAAUAGUCCAUAGGCCCAUCUUUCCGUCAGCACAGACGAAUUGUUCGCGCGGGCGCGGCCCACAAAGACUCUAAUCAGUGUGCUCAGUCUGUCUAAAAGCGCUUAUCAAUGUCAAAAUGUUUGAGAUAACCAAUCAAAUCAAAGGAGGCGGGAUUUACUGUCCACGGAAACCGAACAGCGCUGCACUAUUUAAUGCUUGUAGAAUGCGAGCCGAGAUAACAUAAGCAGCUGAACAAAACAAUAUAGCCUACAGCAAUGUUUGCCAACUGUUUACGAUAAAUAAUAAUAAUAAACUGUUAAACGACGGGGAUUCAUUUCGAGGACGCACUUCUGACCUUUUCGGAUUGUUAUUCUUCACACAUUGGAUAAAGAAACAUUAACGUAACCUAUAGUGUUCAGCAUGUCAGAUAAAAGUGAAUGUGUGUCUGUUGUCAGGAUUUCUUCAGUAAUUUCACAAUCAUAAAACUCGAAAUAUUCUCAAACUUAAACUGCAUGGCAAAACCAGCAGCUUUCAUAUAACCUAUGUCCCGUAAAGUGUAAAACAUAUAAUUUUCUAAUAGUUCACACGCAUUAUUUUACAGACUGGCGAUCAAAAGUUUGAAAUAAGACUUCUUUAAUGUUUUUGAGGCGGAGAAGUAGGAGGAGGAAGAUAAGUAUUCUCUUGAGAAGGAAUGCAAUGAAGCAUUUUGCCUUUAACAAAUACCCAAACGCCCCUUUCUCCUAGCAUUUUUGUGCGCACAAUGUCCAUCUGUCGUGCUCGCUUGCUCUCAAUAGGCUACUGAGAAUCAUAAGUUAGGAAAGUCUGUCCUUCUCGGGCAGGUUUUUAUUAGUUUCGGUUUAGGAAAAAGGGCUCCACUUAAUAUUAAGUGGCCUUAAUACUAUGUACUUACAUCAAAAACCAACGCAUUUAUCAGAUCCAAAAGCAUUGUUGAGAGGAGUUAUGGAAAAGCACAGACGAAUGAUAUCACCAAUCGUUGUCGUUAUCAUGAUAGAAACUCGAGCAGGGAGUGGAGCAGCGUUUUCACAAGCAAAAUUCUGCUGCUGACCCAGAGGAUGGAGUGGAAGUACCAGAUAUCCAUCAGAGAAGAAUUUAUUUCGUUCAGACAUAUCACCUUUGAAUGACUGGGAUCUUGAUCUUCAGACACCUAAUAUUAUGCAAAUAUUUUACUUUCUUUAGCGCUCUAGAUUAAAACAAACACAGCUCAGAAAUAAAUAAGAUGUUGUACUUUACUCCUAUUACUCGAUGCUGAUCUUGGAUAAACAAGAAUUAAGAUAACCCAUCUCUGAGUCCAUGUAAUGCAAAUGAAUAUGUAUUUUAAAAAGGUUACACUUUAAAAACCACACACAGUGACUGUGACAGUUAUCUAUACAACCCCAGUGAAGUAAAACAAUAGGUAACUAUUUACCAUCGCUUCUGACUAACUGCAUGCUACAAUCUACUUGAAUAUGGACUCACAGAGAUUGAUUAUUUUCUUAAAAAGCAGUGUUUAUAUGAAGAAAGUAAUAUAGUACAUCUUGGAUGGCAUGAAAGACUAU